UGUUAGCGGCGGACGGGUGAGUAACACGUGGGUAACCUGCCUGUAAGACUGGGAUAACUCCGGGAAACCGGAGCUAAUACCGGAUAGUUCCUUGAACCGCAUGGUUCAAGGAUGAAAGACGGUUUCGGCUGUCACUUACAGAUGGACCCGCGGCGCAUUAGCUAGUUGGUGGGGUAAUGGCUCACCAAGGCGACGAUGCGUAGCCGACCUGAGAGGGUGAUCGGCCACACUGGGACUGAGACACGGCCCAGACUCCUACGGGAGGCAGCAGUAGGGAAUCUUCCGCAAUGGACGAAAGUCUGACGGAGCAACGCCGCGUGAGUGAUGAAGGUUUUCGGAUCGUAAAGCUCUGUUGUUAGGGAAGAACAAGUGCGAGAGUAACUGCUCGCACCUUGACGGUACCUAACCAGAAAGCCACGGCUAACUACGUGCCAGCAGCCGCGGUAAUACGUAGGUGGCAAGCGUUGUCCGGAAUUAUUGGGCGUAAAGGGCUCGCAGGCGGUUUCUUAAGUCUGAUGUGAAAGCCCCCGGCUCAACCGGGGAGGGUCAUUGGAAACUGGGAAACUUGAGUGCAGAAGAGGAGAGUGGAAUUCCACGUGUAGCGGUGAAAUGCGUAGAGAUGUGGAGGAACACCAGUGGCGAAGGCGACUCUCUGGUCUGUAACUGACGCUGAGGAGCGAAAGCGUGGGGAGCGAACAGGAUUAGAUACCCUGGUAGUCCACGCCGUAAACGAUGAGUGCUAAGUGUUAGGGGGUUUCCGCCCCUUAGUGCUGCAGCUAACGCAUUAAGCACUCCGCCUGGGGAGUACGGUCGCAAGACUGAAACUCAAAGGAAUUGACGGGGGCCCGCACAAGCGGUGGAGCAUGUGGUUUAAUUCGAAGCAACGCGAAGAACCUUACCAGGUCUUGACAUCCUCUGACAACCCUAGAGAUAGGGCUUUCCCUUCGGGGACAGAGUGACAGGUGGUGCAUGGUUGUCGUCAGCUCGUGUCGUGAGAUGUUGGGUUAAGUCCCGCAACGAGCGCAACCCUUGAUCUUAGUUGCCAGCAUUCAGUUGGGCACUCUAAGGUGACUGCCGGUGACAAACCGGAGGAAGGUGGGGAUGACGUCAAAUCAUCAUGCCCCUUAUGACCUGGGCUACACACGUGCUACAAUGGACAGAACAAAGGGCUGCAAGACCGCAAGGUUUAGCCAAUCCCAUAAAUCUGUUCUCAGUUCGGAUCGCAGUCUGCAACUCGACUGCGUGAAGCUGGAAUCGCUAGUAA
rnacentral:rRNA from 1 species